GGUUGGGUCCCGUGCGACAGAGCGUUGUGAACCCGGUCAGGUCCGGAAGGAAGCAGCCGUAAACAAAUGUCUCUGGGUGUUGCGGGGUUGCCUGAUCUGA
rnacentral:SRP_RNA from 1 species